GAUGAACGCUGACAGAAUGCUUAACACAUGCAAGUCAACUUUGGCGGACGGGUGAGUAACGCGUAAAGAACUUGCUUCACAGCUAGGGACAACAUUUGGAAACGAAUGCUAAUACCUGAUACUGGGAGAGAGCUUUGCGUCCCAUUAGCCAGUUGGAGAGGUAACGGCUCAACAAGGCGAUGAUGGGUAGCAGGACUGAGCGGGUGAUCGGCCAGAAGGGGACUAGGAAACGGGUCUUACUCCUUAAGGAGGCAGCAGUGGGGAAUAUUGGACAAUGGACCAAAGUCUGAUCCAGCAAUUUUGUUUGGACGAUGAAGUUUUCGGAAUGUAAAGUGCUUACAGUUGGGAAGCGGUACCAACAGAAGAAGUGACGGCUAAAUACGUGCCAGCAGCAGAGGUAAUU
rnacentral:rRNA from 1 species